AGGAAGUAAAAGUCGUAACAAGGUCUCCGUUGGUGAACCAGCGGAGGGAUCAUUACUGAGUUUACGCUCUAUAACCCUUUGUGAACAUACCUAUAACUGUUGCUUCGGCGGGUAGGGUCUCCGCGACCCUCCCGGCCUCCCGCCUCCGGGCGGGUCGGCGCCCGCCGGAGGAUAACCAAACUCUGAUUUAACGACGUUUCUUCUGAGUGGUACAAGCAAAUAAUCAAAACUUUUAACAACGGAUCUCUUGGUUCUGGCAUCGAUGAAGAACGCAGCGAAAUGCGAUAAGUAAUGUGAAUUGCAGAAUUCAGUGAAUCAUCGAAUCUUUGAACGCACAUUGCGCCCGCCAGCAUUCUGGCGGGCAUGCCUGUUCGAGCGUCAUUUCAACCCUCAAGCUCUGCUUGGUGUUGGGGCCCUACAGCUGAUGUAGGCCCUCAAAGGUAGUGGCGGACCCUCCCGGAGCCUCCUUUGCGUAGUAACUUUACGUCUCGCACUGGGAUCCGGAGGGACUCUUGCCGUAAACCCCCCAAUUUUCCAAAGGUUGACCUCGGAUCAGGUAGGAAUACCCGUUGAACUUAAGCAUAUCAUAG
rnacentral:rRNA from 1 species